GGCACUGUGGCUGAGUGGUUAAAGCGAUAGACUAGAAUCGAAUCACCAAAUUCAGCUAAUCUAUUCCCUUCGGGGUCGCAGGUUCGAGUCCUGCCGGUGUCG